rnacentral:tRNA from 1 species
UGCCUCGUUGUGUAACGGUAGCACGACAGCCUCUGGAGCUGUUUGUCUAGGUUCGAAUCCUAGCGAGGCAA